AUUGAACGCUGGCGGCAGGCUUAACACAUGCAAGUCGAGCGGGGUGAUGGUGCUUGCACUAUCACUUAGCGGCGGACGGGUGAGUAAUGCUUAGGAAUCUGCCUAUUAGUGGGGGACAACAUCUCGAAAGGGAUGCUAAUACCACAUACGUCCUACGGGAGAAAGCAGGGGAUCACUUGUGACCUGGCCCUAAUAGAAGAGCUUACGUCGGAUUAGCUAGUUGGUAGGGUAAAGGCCUGCCAAGGCGACGAUCUGUAGCGGGUCUGAGAGGAUGAUCCGCCACACUGGGACUGAGACACGGCCCAGACUCCUACGGGAGGCAGCAGUGGGGAAUAUUGGACAAUGGGGGGAACCCUGAUCCAGCCAUGCCGCGUGUGUGAAGAAGGCCUUAUGGUUGUAAAGCACUUUAAGCGAGGAGGAGGCUCUUUUGGUUAAUACCCAAGAUGAGUGGACGUUACUCGCAGAAUAAGCACCGGCUAACUCUGUGCCAGCCGCCGCAGUAA
rnacentral:rRNA from 1 species